GAAGGUAUAGCUCAGUGGUAGAGCACAUACUUAGCAGGCACGAGGUCCUGGGUUAAAUCCCCAGUACCUCCA
rnacentral:tRNA from 1 species